CCUGAGCCUUGUACACACCGCCCGUCAAGCCACGAAAGAUCGGGGGGGGCCAAGUCGCCCCGGCUAACCGCAAGGAGGCCAGCGCCUAACCCUCAACGGUCAAUUGGGACU
rnacentral:rRNA from 1 species